GCAAUACUACCAAAAGAGUAUAAUCAGCCUAACUUAUAGUUAUCUAAUCUAGAAGAAACUUGAAAGUCUCAAAUUUUGGAAGCCUUGAACUAUUUAGAAUUGGUUUUCUAAAGGAUCUUGCUAUUAGUCAUUUGUUGUAAUUUUAAUGACUUAUUUUAAAAAAGAUUGCAUUAAACGACUUCAUUUUAGGAGGUUUGGUUAUUUUGGUGUUUUAGGUGUAGAACUGGUGGAAAAAGUAGAGGUAGAGGUAGAGGUGAAGAUGGAGGAGUAUGAAGCCUUUGAAAAGUUUGGAAACGACAUCUGACCUUCAGGGUUUUGAGUACAUAAAUUUAAUUUUGGAUGAUGCUGGAAAAGUCAACAUCAAGAGGAAGAGCAAAAAACUUUAGAUGGGUUCAUUUUCCUUUACUUUUAAUCUCUCAAAUGUGCAUGCUCUAAACGUGGUGCAUCUAUUUUAUUAUGGGUCGCUUACAUCAAAAGAAAUGUAGAGGGUAGAUUCUUCUUAAGAGAUGCAACACAAUAGCCGCCUCUCUCUCUCUCUCUCUCACAAUAGUGGAAAGUGAUGAUUUUAGCAAUUGUCUAAAUUGGCAUUAUGUUGCCUUUUCAAUCCCAUUAAGGUCUUGCAUUUUUGUUUACUGGCAAUGUUAGAAUUUAGAUACAUCUUGGACAUCAAGAAUGAUUAAUAUAAUUUAUGAAAGAUAUAUGAUUGAAUGA